AUUGAACGCUGGCGGCAUGCCUUACACAUGCAAGUCGAACGAGGGUAGCAAUACCUUAGUGGCGAACGGGUGAGUAAUAUAUCGGAACGUACCCUAGAGUGGGGGACAACCAGUCGAAAGACUGGCUAAUACCGCAUACGAUCUCUGGAUGAAAGUGGGGGACCGCAAGGCCUCACGCUCCUGGAGCGGCCGAUAUCUGAUUAGCUAGUUGGUAGGGUAAAAGCCUACCAAGGCAUCGAUCAGUAGCUGGUCUGAGAGACGAUCAGCCACACUGGGACUGAGACACGGCCCAGACUCCUACGGGAGGCAGCAGUGGGGAAUUUUGGACAAUGGGGGAAACCCUGAUCCAGCAAUGCCGCGUGAGUGAGGAAGGCCUUCGGGUUGUAAAGCUCUUUUGUCAGGGAGGAAAAGGCUAUGGCUAAUAUCCAUGGCUGAUGACGGUACCUGAAGAAUAAGCACCGGCUAACUACGUGCCAGCCACCGCCGUAA
rnacentral:rRNA from 1 species